GAGUUUGAUUCUGGCUCAGGAUGAACGCUAGCGACAGGCUUAACACAUGCAAGUCGAGGGGCAGCAAUAAAAGUAGCAAUACUUGGUGGCGACCGGCGCACGGGUGAAGUAACGCGUAUGCAACCUACCUAUCAGAGGGGAAUAACCCGGCGAAAGUCGGACUAAUACCGCAUAAAACAGGGGCACCGCAUGGUGAUAUUUGUUAAAGAAAUUCGCUGAUAGAUGGGCAUGCGUUCCAUUAGGUAGUUGGUGAGGUAACGGCUCACCAAGCCGACGAUGGAUAGGGGAACUGAGAGGUUGGUCCCCCACACUGGUACUGAGACACGGACCAGACUCCUACGGGAGGCAGCAGUGAGGAAUAUUGGUCAAUGGGCGGGAGCCUGAACCAGCCAAGUCGCGUGAAGGAAGAAGGAUCUAUGGUUCGUAAACUUCUUUUGCAGGGGAAUAAAGUGCAGGACGUGUCCUGUUUUGUAUGUACCCUGAGAAUAAGGAUCGGCUAACUCCGUGCCAGCCGCCGC
rnacentral:rRNA from 1 species